AGACACUGCGAUGAAAUUUCUGACUUUGAGGGUCUGGACCUUACCUAAUGAGCUGAGCUAUGAAGUUAAACACUGAGGCAGAUAAUUUUCUGACUUCUGGACUGUUGCCUGCUUGCUGGGACAGUAUAUUAUUAUGAGUUUUCAAAAAACCAACAGCCUUGCCUGGGAUCUGAGAUGCAUUUCCUUCUCAGACAUUUCCUGUUCUGCAAUCAAGUACAAAACUGGUCUUCCUGGAGUGGGACAAUGGAAACCUGAGCUGUAACAGUCAGCAUUCAGCUCACAGCAGUAUUUUUUUUGCUUGAUAAACGCAAACAACAAACACAAGAAAUUAACCUUGCUGAGCUGACAGACUGAUAUACCUGAUUUUCAGGUUUUGUUCAAGUGCAUAAUUAAGAAACCGCUCCUGACAGUGUGCGUGUAAAACCAUGGUAACUGUGGGACCCUGUCUUGGAUCUAAAUCACAGCAGCACGGCGCAUCGCAUCCUUCAGAACCUUUGUCUGAAUGACUUGCUUGCGUUCAGCACAGUAUGGUAACGUGUAAGACGGAAUUCAGUGGGCUCUUGUACUGUUCUGGACAAGCUCUCUUCCUUUUUCUGACAGGUAAGAUCACAUGUCAUCCACAAUAGGUAUGUCUUCAUUUCAGAUCUUGAAACUUGUCUCUCCCAAUAUGGGUUAGUCAAAGAAUUUCUCUACAUCUGUUCAGUAAUUUGUCAUUAGUAUUCAUCCAUAUUUCAGCAGUAGCGCUAAGCCUGUGUGUUUAAGUUUGUUACUAUCUUGCAAUCAGAGCUGCUAAGAAUUUUUUUAAGUUACAUUUGUUUAACAGGAUGAAGUUAACACACCCCAAGUAGUGAACCUGCUGGGAUUCAAAAUUACUCGACUUUGGCCGUUUAAGGUGUGAUGUAUUAUACUGUACUUGCAGACUUUGUUACUGAAAAUGACUUACGCCAUAAGCUUUCUACAGUGAAAAGGCCGCCUUGGGUUUUAGAAUUUGUUGUGAAACUAUUUCUUAGAAACUCAACACUGGGGAGAGAAGGAAUUGGCAGGAUUGCAAACUGUCCCAGCCGACCUUGCUACAACUCCCCCUGUUACCUGCAGCAUGGCCUUCCACAAUGUCCCAGCAUCUUCUCUCUUGUAUUUUGUGAUCAUCUGGCAACAGCCAGCUUAAUCCACUCUUGACAGGGGCCUUGUAAGAUUUCAAGCAGGUUGUCUUACACCUGAAGCCAAGGAAGUGAGAGCACAGCCUAGCAGUGGGAAGGAAAACCUCAGGCAACCAUGCUAAAAGCUGCUUAAGAACACAAGAAGCCCUCAAUGAACUGUCGGCCUUGCCAGUGCUAUUCUACGAUGCCAUUGCCUCUUGCCGCGUGGGGAAGGUCCUCCCUUCAUGGAUUCUAGCUUACUCAGAGGAGGAGAGGCUGCUUUUUCGCAGCACCCUCCUCAGGGCGGGCAGCCUGGUGUCAGGUCCCCCCCAAAACUGCCUCCUCCCCAGGCUAAACAAGCCCAGCUCCAUCAGCCUUUCUCAUCAGGGGUGUGCCAAGAACAUGCAGAAUAUCAAUGGAAACGUACUGUCGUGCACUUCAACACUCACUGAGGAUGGAAAAGGUGGGAUACUAACUUCUCUACUGGUAUGCUGGAGAGUAAUGCUAUGUUAAGUUCAGUGGGUUGUUUGUUUUUGUGUUGUUGUUUUUUUCCAAUGCCAGUAACAAAUAGCGGCAAGAACUGACUUACCAUUUAAGAUUUAAGUCCCAGACCUUUGAGCCUUUCAGUGUAAACACUGGGUUUUUUUAUUUUUUAUUUUUUAAACUUGACAGCCAAGUAAGUUUCAAGUGCACUAAUUACUACUACUGAAGCCUGACAAGGAACCUGCAAGUAUAAAAGCCUGUUUCCAGUGUUAUGUGAAUAGUAAUAUUUGAAGAAUGUGUGUUUGUGUAUUGAAAGCAUACUGACUUUACAGUUUGCUAAUGUAUUUUUUUUAGGUAAACUCUUAACUACUACAGCAGUUGCCACUGGAUCAGGCAACUGACUGUAAAGCUGUACAUUUUUAUCAUCCUGACAAAAUUUAUCUAGCUGCAUGAUGGUCUUUUAUGUACAUACCUAACCUGUAAAUAAAUUUCAGUUCAUUGGAU
ensembl:lncRNA